GACCUGGCUGGGCGGCCUUGCCGAAAGGUAAGCACUGCUCUGGUCGGGUCUUUCCUUCUGGGGAACCUGCGUGCUCUUAAUUGAGUGCGCAGGGGAUCCAGGACUUUUACUUUGAAAAAAUUAGAGUGUUUAAAGCAGGCCUACGCUUGAAUACAUUAGCAUGGAAUAAUAGAAUAGGACGUGCGGUUCUAUUUCGUUGGUUUCUAGGAUCGCCGUA
rnacentral:rRNA from 1 species